UCAAAUUAGCCUUUGUUUCGCCAGUGAC
rnacentral:sRNA from 1 species